ensembl:lncRNA
GGGUUUUUCUCUGUGAGUCCAGGUCUUUGGAUACAGGGGCUUGCUACAUAUUUCUUGGAUCUAUGUACCGUUGUAGGGAUGCACCAAUCCAGAGCUUGGAAGAAGUGAUGCUUCACUGUCAACCAACUCUCUCUGGCCCCCUGUCCUUCCAAUGCUCAGCUAGACAUCGGUGUCUAAUCUCUUUGAUUGGACUUUCCUUGGGCUGCACUAAUUGAAGAGGAUUCAUCUUGGGCUGCAUAUGUGUAGGAUGCACCAAAGCUGGAAUCUUUCCACAGAAACUGCAAAAUACAAAGAGUGCAAUAGCAUUACUUGAUGGAGCAAAUUCUCAGUUACAAAACACUAUUUUUCAACAUGGUGAUCACCAUUAGGUACGCAUUCUUGCCAGCAAUAAUGAGACCCUGCAUGCAGUGCUUGAAGGAAGUUGAACCAGCAGAGAUGACUCACUGUUGCCACUGACACCACUGAAAUGUACUACACACCACCUCACUGUGUUGACAUCUACUGGCUGGUCCCCAUAAGCAUUCAGCAAGCCUCUGUGAAUGUCAGUAGGGGCAAUUUUUUCCACAUGGAGGAAUUCAGGUCCACAGCUUUGCUUCAUAUUUACUUCUAUGUUGAACACCACUUUCUUAGACUGCACCUCUGCUGUUAUCUGUUACACAGCAAAAAAAAAAAAGUAAUGCAAUAUUGGUGGGAAGGUUCCCACCAUCCCAGAGUUCUAAGGGAAUUAGCUGAUGUAGUUGCCAAGCUACUCUCAAUGAUGCUUGAAGUUGUGGCAAUCAGGUGGAGUUAUGGGUGACUGGAAAAAAAGGUAACAUCUUCAUUUUUAAGAAGGGUAAAAAUGAUGAUGCUGGGGAGUACCAUC